UGUGGGAGCGAGCCUGCUCGCGAUGGCGGUGUGUCAGUCAACCACGAUGCUGGUUGAUCCGCCGCCAUCGCGAGCAGGCUCGCUCCCACA
rnacentral:misc_RNA from 1 species